rnacentral:rRNA from 1 species
UACGUAGGGGGCAAGCGUUGUCCGGAAUUAUUGGGCGUAAAGAGCGUGUAGGCGGCCAGAUAAGUCCGCUGUGAAAUCUCGAGGCUCAACUUCGAGCUGUCGGUGGAAACUAUCUGGCUAGAGUCCGGAAGAGGAGAAUGGAAUUCCUGGUGUAGCGGUGAAAUGCGCAGAUAUCGGGAGGAACACCAAUGGCGAAGGCAGCUCGCUGGGACGGUACUGACGCUGAGACGCGAAAGCGUGGGGAGCAAACAGG